ACGAGACGCCUUAUUUCUUCUUCUCUGUCUCUUUCCGACGGCGUAACUCUCCGG
rnacentral:sRNA from 1 species